CUCCCUAAGGUUUCAUGACUUGAAAAGAGAUCAAAAGCCACCAAAGGUUCACCUUUAGUGAGUAGCUAAUAGUAAAGUUGUUUAAAAUGCACUUAAUAAUGUUUACCUCUCCAAGGGUUAAGAAUCCUUGGGGUGGUGGAUGCUAACUCUUUUAGAAAUAUUGAGACUAAAAAGGGAAACACUUCUAUUAAGUACACCUGUGUGUUUAGAUGUGUUGUCAGGGGCCGUUUUCACCUUUCUAACUCUAAACAUUGAUACCCACGCUCUCAUUGUCUCACCUAUGUCUAAGACUUCCAAAUGCUCACAGAAACAACCUGAGGCUGAAAACCAGCAAACUGGCUGUCAACAAAACGUGCCAUUUGUCACACACUCUUAGCAACUGUGUUCUUCGGUCCUGUUCCUAGUCUGAGCCCUGGUGAUCCCAAGAAGACCUUAGGACACACAGCUUUUCCAGAAGAGCUGUGCCAGAUGCCCUCAUCUUCUCUAUGAAGUUAGCAACUUGACUUAAUAACAUUCCAGUGAUGUAGAAUGCUACUCCUCUCCUCCCCUCCUCACAAAACCAUCUCUAAACUCCUGAACUACUGCCCACAAAGUCCCCAAUGGUCUUUCACAGUGCUGGGCUGGUUGGUGGAUUAUAUUGAUGGAUUUUUGUAUACUGAACCAUCCCCACAUCCCUGUGAAGAAGUCUACCAGUUCAUGAUGUCAAGGGUGCAGAAGGGACCUGAUGACCCACGCUAAAAGCAUUCAUCAACUUAUGAGGUUCCAAGCAGUUGAUGUAAGGUGGAAAGUCUUAAGUUGUAUGAAAUGAUUCAGCCAUCCACAUCACAGAACUACAGCUGGGCCACACUCUGUAAGUAUCUGUUAUUAUGGAAAGCAUGCCAUAUGAGGUGCUUUUCAUUUCUGGGUAAGUGAUGAACACUAUGUUGAAACUUGUCACACAUUUGACCAAACAUUCCCUAAUCCUACUGUGCUCAUUUGAGCCAGAUGCACAGAGUGGGCAUGCCUAUUUCCUAUUACUAACUCGUUGAUCUGGCCUUAAGAGCAACUUGGGAAUGGGGGUCAUGGACUAUGUCACAUCAGUCACAGAUAACAAACCAUCACAUAAUAUCUUAAUUCAUAAAUAAUAGCCCUUCUGAGAAUCCACAUGACACCCACAUGCUGGAUGGCAUCUGAAAGUGCUGAGAGUUGAAAUCACAUGCAGCCAGGCAAGCCCCUGCUGAAUUCACAUCUAAGGAGCUUUGUAUGUAUUGUUUAUUCCAGCAACUUUAUGGAAUAAAUUAUGUACAACAAAUUGGUUUCAGAUGGUGGAAUAUGAGGAGCUGAUGUGCAGUACAAGAAAGGUGAACUCCCACUUUGACUAAAUCACUUCCUCUUUGGCAUCUCAGUCUUACAAUCCAGAUGCAGCUUAGUUUUGAAAUGUGGUAGAGAUUAGAAAGCUAAGAAGUUGUGAGGAUUAGAGACUUAAAAAACCAUGGGUAUUGACCGUUAAUUCACCACCCCGCCUUGUCAGUUUGGGGUUGCUGUGCAUGGAAGCAUGAGAGAAUCUAAACAUACUCUUCCUCCAUCUCUGCCUUAUGAACAGUGACUGAAGUCAAAUGUCCUCCUAACAUUUUCUGCCCAUCCACGGAUUCAACACAUGUAAAAGCUCACUGAUUAUCACCACAUGGGACCAACAUUCACACUCAUGAAAGAAAGUAGGUAAGGUGGCACACACCUGAAAUCCCAGCACUUUGGAAGUGAGGCAGGAGAAUCAAGUGUCCAAGGCCUGCAGAGGCUACUCAAGACAUCUUGUUUUAAAGGGGAAAAGAAAGAAGAGAAGGAAGUGCACUGUAAUCCUGAGACAUGUCUUUCCCUUCCCUCUGAAGCUAGUCUUUUUGAAGAAUUAUGUCUAACAGUAAAGUGCAUUACUUGGUAUACAGCUGUAAGAAUUUACUAACUGUAUAAACUCCACUAAGUUGGAUCACUCACAUACCCUGAAGCUUUCAUGUGUCAGUCCUCCCUGCCUCUAGGCACUGGCAAACCAUGGGUCUGUCCCUUUGGUUUUAUGUUUUUAAGAAGAUCUUAUAGCCUUUGCCACAUAACAUUUCCUCAUCAAAAUUACUUUGAGAAUCCCUGACAUGCUGCACAUAACAGCUCCCUCCCACUGCAAUCUGACUAUUGUAUAUGAACAGUUUUUCCUCUUCCCAGUUGAAAAACUCCAGGAGCUUUCUAUUUUUGUUAAUUAUAAAUAAAUGUACUGUUAACACAUGUGUAUCUGUUUCUAUUGUGCCUGUCAGACUUUAUUUCUCCUGAGUCAAUAGCUAGGAAUGAGAUUGCUGAGCCAAAUCUAUACACAAAUGCAUAACAAUAUACACCCCUACCAGUCUUUUUUCCCCAUAGUAGGUAAUACUAGCUAUUAAAGGUGCCUUUAGUAUUUAGUUAAUUU